ACUGAGACACGGUCCAGACUCCUACGGGAGGCAGCAGUGGGGAAUAUUGCACAAUGGGCGCAAGCCUGAUGCAGCCAUGCCGCGUGUAUGAAGAAGGCCUUCGGGUUGUAAAGUACUUUCAGCGGGGAGGAAGGUGUUGUGGUUAAUAACCGCAGCAAUUGACGUUACCCGCAGAAGAAGCACCGGCUAACUCCGUGCCAGCAGCCGCGGUAAUACGGAGGGUGCAAGCGUUAAUCGGAAUUACUGGGCGUAAAGCGCACGCAGGCGGUCUGU
rnacentral:rRNA from 1 species